CAUAAUUUCUCUAUUCCAUCAUUCCUGUUUUAAAGCUCAAGUGUACUGGAGUCAAGUGUCAGUGUACUGAAAGAACAACUGCUACACAGAAGUUGUAUAUUCUGUUCUGGAAAUCAGGGAAGAAAAUGUUUGUCAGAGAUCAAGAAAAGAAAGGGUGAGCAGUCUCAUCAAAACAGAAGGCAUUCAUUGAUGCAACACAUGACCUAAGCAAUUCCCUGAUCUAGUUGCUUUCACAUCUGCACAUUCCUAAGAGCUAGAAGGAGGAAUAUGUGGACAGACAUAGAAGAUACUUCACUUUUCAAAUCAACUGUGACACCAUCAGUCAGACAGGUGUGCAUAGGAACACUGCUUAGCAGAAACUCUAAGCAGUACCCAGUGAAGGCUUUGCAGUGGCUGAGUAAAAACAUCUGCAGGAGACAAGGCUGUGACUUUAAGAAAAUGGGUUACAGAAAGGACUCAAGUACCACGAUGUUCAAAAUGUUUUCAACUACAGCAGGAAUUUAUCGGGAGGUUCUCUUUACAAGUGACUUGUGACUUUACUGAGUAUAAAUGCCCAGUUGGGUGAGACUAUGCUGAUAUGUUUAUUCAAAUCACCUUUUGUUAAUGGCUUGCAGAGUCUGUUAAACAAUUUUGCUAAUUCUAUCCUUCAGACUGCAAGAUAAAAUGGUAACUUCAAAAUUGAAACACAAAGUAUACUAAUUCUUAUCAGACAUCUUUCAUAAUAAGAUAUCAUGUUUUCCUUCUAAGUCUAAAAAAAUAUUCAAAGAAAGA